GGUCCCGCAGAGUCGUCGGGUGGUGCGCAAACGGAAAGCGCAUGUAGUCGAGUCUUUUAGUCCACCUGCUUCUCCUUCCAAGCCCGAGCGCGAAGAGGUGGGAACAGAUCCAUCAGCUUCUGCGACAGGAGCGGUUACUAUUGCCGUGGCGGGCACUGCGCCACCAGCUGGUGUGACCCCGCCACCAGCAACGAGUACCGUGGUUGAGAUGCCACGGGCUCUGAGAGUGAAGAAAGCUGUCAUGAAGAAGUCUUUGCUGUCUGCAAGCGACAUGAGGCGCAAGCUAAAGCCUGCUGCAGCAACCGCAGCCCCCAAGGCGGACACAACGCUACCCGACCUACCACCCCCCAAGCCCCAACAAGCCGACGCCAGGGCUGGUGGUGAGGAACAAGUCGAGGCCACUGAAGCCGCUCCUGCAGAUGGCACAAGUGCCUAACAGCCAUCCACUGAAGAAGCCGCAGGGACCUCAAGGAGCCCUGGAGAUCUGCUGGUGACCGGACGCGGAUACCAGAAUGUCAUCACCACAGAUCUGGUGGAUGACCCGAUGCUAACGGAGGACAACAUAAGAUACUUCAAGAAGAUCUCCAAGGAGUUAUACAAUUACACCGUGGAUGUGAUCAAGCACUCAUAGAAAAACACCGAGAAACUGAAAGCAGUCGUGAGUGGCCACCAGGAGCUAGCUGCCAAGAACAAAUGCAUAUCCGAAGAGCUGACGAAGAACAUCUAUCUUCAGAGAGAACUUGACAAGCUGAAGUAAGAGCGGACUCGAGAGACAUGGCUCUUCAAGAACGACCUCCGCAAUCUCGAGAAGGCCAACUCCGAGCUCUAGGAGCAACUCAAGGAGCAAAAGAAGGCGC